rnacentral:rRNA from 1 species
GCCUUCGGGUUGUAAACCUCUUUCGCCAGUGAAGCAGGCCUGCUCCUUGUGGGUGGGUUGACGGUAGCUGGAUAAGAAGCGCCGGCUAACUACGUGCCAGCAGCCGCGGUAAUACGUAGGGCGCGAGCGUUGUCCGGAAUUAUUGGGCGUAAAGAGCUCGUAGGCGGCUGGUCGCGUCUGUCGUGAAAUCCUCUGGCUUAACUGGGGGCUUGCGGUGGGUACGGGCCGGCUUGAGUAGCGAAAGAGGUUUACAACCCGAAGGC